rnacentral:rRNA from 1 species
GCCAGCCCGCUCAGAAACUCAAAGGAAUUGACGGGGGCCCGCACAAGCGGAGGAGCAUGUGGUUUAAUUCGAUGAUACGCGAGGAACCUUACCUGGGCUCGAACGUAAGAUGACUGUAGGUGAAAGCUUACAUCUCUUCGGAGCAUUUUACGAGGUGCUGCAUGGUUGUCGUCAGCUCGUGCCGUGAGGUGUCGGGUUAAGUCCCAUAACGAGCGCAACCCUACCUUUAGUUGCCAUCAGGUAAUGCUGGGGACUCUAAAGGAACUGCCUACGCAAGUAGUGAGGAAGGCGGGGAUGACGUCAAAUCAGCACGGCCCUUACGUCCAGGGCUACACACGUGCUACAAUGGCCGAUACAGAGGGCAGCUACCUGGUGACAGGAUGCAAAUCUCCAAAGUCGGUCUCAGUUCGGAUCGGAGUCUGCAACCCGACUCCGUGAAGUUGGAUUCGCUAGUAAUCGCGCAUCAGCCAUGGCGCGGUGAAUACGUUCCCGGGCCUU